CCCAGACUCCUACGGGAGGCAGCAGUGAGGAGUAUUGGUCAAUGGUCGGGAGACUGAACCAGCCAAGCCGCGUGAGGGAGGAAGGUACAGAGUAUCGUAAACCUCUUUUGUCAGGGGACAAAGACUGGGACGCGUCCCCGGAUGAGUGUACCUGAAGAAAAAGCAUCGGCUAACUCCGUGCCAGCAGCCGCGGUAAUACGGAGGAUGCGAGCGUUAUCCGGAUUUAUUGGGUUUAAAGGGUGCGUAGGCGGAAGGCCAAGUCGGCGGUAAAAUCGGGGGGCUCAACCUCGCUCCGCCGUUGAAACUGGCGUUCUUGAGUGGGCGAGAAGUAUGCGGAAUGCGUGGUGUAGCGGUGAAAUGCAUAGAUAUCACGCAGAACCCCGAUUGCGAAGGCAGCCUUCCGGCGCCCUACUGACGCUGAGGCACGAAAGUGCGGGGAUCGAACAGGAUUAGAUACCCGCGUAAA
rnacentral:rRNA from 1 species